UCUCCAUUUCGCUUACUUUCUCACCGGACAGAGCUGCGAGAGAGUAGGCGAAAUGAAGAGA
rnacentral:pre_miRNA from 1 species